GGGGGUGAUAUAUGGGACAGGAGGGGUGAUAGGAGAGACAGAAGGGGUGAUAGGAUAGACAGGAGGGGUGAUAGGAGAGACAGGAGGGGUGAUAGGAGAGACAAGAGGGGUGAUAGGAGAGACAGGAGGGGUGAGAAGAGAGACAGGGGGGGUGAUAGGAGAGACAGGAGGGGUGAGAAGAGAGACAGGGGGUGAGAGGAGAGACUGGAGGGGUGAGAGGAGAGACAGAAGGGGUGAUAGGAGGGACAGGAGGGGUGGUAGGAGAGACAGAAGGGGUGAUAGGAGAGACAGGAGGGGUAGUAGGAGAGACCGGAGGGGUAGUAGGAGAGACCGGAGGGGUGAGAAGAGAGACAGGAGGGGUGAGAGGAGAGACAGGGGGGGUGAUAGGAAAGACAGGAGGGGUGAUAGGAUAGACAGGAGGGGUGAUAGGAUAGACAGGAGGGGUGAUAGGAUAGACAGGAGGGGUGAUAGGAUAGACAGGAGGGGUGAUAGGAUAGACAGGAGGGGUGAUAGGAUAGACAGGAGGGGUGAUAGGAUAGACAGGAGGGGUGAUAGGUAAGACAGGAGGGGUGAUAGGAUAGACAGGAGGGGUGAUAGGAUAGACAGGAGGGGUGAUAGGUAAGACAGGAGGGGUGAUAGGAUAGACAGGAGGGGUGAUAGGAUAGACAGGAGGGGUGAUAGGUAAGACUGGACGGGUGAUAGGAUAGACAGGAGGGGUGAUAGGAUAGACUGGAGGGGUGAUAGGAUAGACAGGGGGGGUGAUAGGUAAGACAGGAGGGGUGAUAGGAUAGACAGGAGGGGUGAUAGGUAAGACAGGAGGGGUGAUAGGAUAGACAGGAGGGGUGAUAGGUAAGACAGGAGGGGUGAUAGGAUAGACAGGAUGGGUGAUAGGAUUGACAGGAGGGGUGAUAGGAUAGACAGGAGGGGUGAUAGGUAAGACUGGUCGGGUGAUAGGUAAGACUGGACGGGUGAUAGGAGAGACAGGAGGG
ensembl:lncRNA